UUCUUUCUUUCUUUCUUUCUUUCUUUCUUUCUUUCUUUCUUUCUUUCUUUCUUUCUUACUUUAAUGAUUACCCAAUGACUUCCAAGUGAACUCCUAACUUCUUCUCAGUCCCAUUGCCACACAAGCAUGACACAGCGACACCGUGUUGUCAUCCGCAAACUUCAUGCUUGAGAACUGGGCCUGCUUAAAAGCUCACGUUUGAAGUAAGUUUAUGGUUCCUGUUGGGUCUCCAGCCAAGAGUUGGGCAUGCCUAAAUCCUGUUUCCUCUCCAGCUGUUAUCUACCAUGACGCCAUGACGGUCUCUCUCCUCCACGUGCUGCCACAUCUUCAGCUUGCCUACGGUCUCUGAAAGGACCAUGUCCUCCCUGUUGUAUACGUAGCUCCCUGCCUAGCUUCAUAUUCCCAUCCAGAGAAAUUUACGUCUUUCAUCCGAGUUUGGACAGUGAUUUUUAUUUUAGGAAGCCACAUAGGGCUGUUUAUCUUUUCUUACUGAUUGCAAUUCACCCUCUUAAUCCUGUUUCCAUGAUGGGCGCAGACUGACAGAAGCACACAGGGAAAGAACCGCAGACAUUUUACGAUAGAUAUAAACAAGGUAUGCAAUAUGGCGGCACAAAAUGAUAGCCAAAUGUACUAACAUGAGCUUUUAACGGUUUUAUAUUUUUUAAAUUAAAAAUUUAAAUUAUUUUGAGAAUUUCGUACAUGGCUACUAUCUCAUACCACCUCUAUCAUUCCCUUAACUCCUCUGUGUGUUCCCCCAACUUCCUCUCAAAUUCAUGACCUCUUCUUUAAUUAUUGUCACACACACACACACACACACCUUAUUCAUGCAUAAAUACAAUCUGUGAGCCCAUUUAGUAUUGCUCAUAUGUAUAUAUGUUUAGGGGUUACUACUUAGGAUUGGAUAACCUGUCAGUGGCUUCCUCCCUGGAAAAGACUGGUCCUCCUCUCUCAGCAGUGAUUGUCUGCAACUCUCCAUCUAGGCGUGACCAGAUGGAGUGACUUCCCCUGUCCACCUUGCAUGUCACUCCAGCCACUUUCAAAGCAUCGCUUCUAGCCUGCCCUUAGCUGAUUUACAUACACCAGCGCUUAUUGCAGAAAAUGCACUGGUGUGCACCAUCCCAUUUCUGAUGCAAAGUAGCAUCCUGAGAUCUGCUGAUUGCCGUUUGUCAUAGUGUUUAGUGGUGGACAGGAGAAGGCUGUAUGCGUCUAAAGGCAAACAACACGAGCUUGCUGGGGUCUGGUUUUCAUGGUCUGGCUUUGGACAUUGAGAGAAUCAUGCUUAGGGACGACAGAUGGUUCCAAAACCUGUAUAUUCCACAGAUAUAAAGAUUACUCUAUUAAAAAUAACUAUUGAGAAAACCUUUUUUUUUCUCAGUUGGUCAAUAGGAGGAUUUGGAUAUAUAGUUCUUAAGAAUUCGAUCUGGGUUGGCACUAAUUAAAAUACAACUUUGAGUAAGUUGAUAAAUAGCUCUUGGUUAUAAGACAGAGGAACAAAGUUAACUUCAAAUAUUAUUGUGAACAAAGAUGGAUUAACUCAGAGUUAUACACCUAAAAUUGAUGUUCUAUUUUCAGAAUUUGGUCCAAGGUCAAGUGUGAAAUGUAGCCCCUGUCACUUGGAUCUUGUGCAAUGUCGCCAUGCAUGCCUGCAUCCAAAUAUUUAAUUCCUCACUUAUCCACCCAUUUAUCCAUUCCCUUGUUAUCUAUCCACUUACCCAAUAACCCCAUCAUCAACCCCACAAUUCCUUAUCCGAUAAAUCUUAUGUAAGUUCUAUCCUGUACAGAUUUUCUCCUUAUUGAGGAUCUAAGAGCAGAUAAGGCUAUCUUUCUUCUCAAAGUGCUCAAAGCCUGAUUUAUUUUGUUCUUUAUUUUAACAAUAGAUUUAUUUACUUAUUUCUAUUUUAUAUGCAUUGGUGUUUUGUCUCCAUUGUGUGUCUAUGUACUGCAUGCAUGCCUGUUGCCUGCAGAGACUAGAAGAGGGUGUCAGAUCUCUUAGAACAGAAGCUAUGGAGGAAUGAUUGUGAGCUGCCAUGGGGAUGCUGGGAAUUGAACCUGAGUCCUCUGGGAAAAGCCUAACUCUUCUCUCUGACUCCCUUUUGUUCUUGUUCUUGGUUUUUGCUUUUUUGAAACGGUUUCACUGCAUUGCCCAGGCUGGUCCUCAUUUUGUGAUCAAUAGCCUUGCCUCAGCCUUCUGAGAACUAGAAUUAUCAGCAUAGACUAGCAUUCCAGUGUCUCUGCAAAUAUGUCUUGGAUCCUUAUGAUUAGGACCUUGAGGCAGUUAAAGAGAGAUGACAGUCGAAGGGAAGAGUGUGUGUGCCCCACACUGGGAAAGCAUGGAGACCAGAGAGGACAGUGGGGCUUGUGAGAAGGUCGGUAAGAUUUUGUAGAGUGGAGAAUGCUGGCCAAGGUUGAGAGAACGACGUUUCUGGUAAAGGUGUAGACAACCUGCAUGCCGAUGAGAGGUGCUGAGAAAGCCUUUGUGAUUUCUGAGCAGAGCAAGUGAUGUGAAGUUGGACUAUCCUUAAAAGGCCAAUCCAGGUCAUUUGGGGAGGUAGAGUGAGAGACUGAGGAGACAAGAGACACAGAUCAUUACAAGCUAGUUAUUCAGAUUUGGGUCGCUUCCAACACUCAGGCUGUUGCCAUAGAGAAGCUAGGGGGCUUUCCAGUUAAAACCACUCAGUCUUGUUCACAUUUCAGGAGCAGAUAAGAGAAGUUACUUUUAUAUUGCUUUCAUUUUUUAGUUCACAUUCAACGUUGACUUUCUCUUAAUUGUUGAGAAGAUUAAUUUGUAUAUUUAGAUUGUUCUUAACCUGGUGCUUUAGUAUAGUGGUCUGAAAAGACUUGGGCGGUAGAGUGAGGAGGGAAAGAUACAGGUGUGUCUGAAUUUAAGGGGAAGGGGAAGGGUAGGCCUCCUUUCUUACUAAAAUAACGGGAACCUAAAACGAAUCUGCUGUUCUUGUGCCUAGUAGUUGAAGUAUCAUUUAUGUAAUUCAUAUGCAAAUACGUAUUUACCUCUGUGAGACAAUCUGUUCUAAGGCACAGGGCUUAGGGUACAGAAUGUUAAAACAGAUUUCUGUAAUUCUCAAGGUCACCAACUUAAAAUUAAACACCAUAAUAAUGUAGGAGAUGAAAGGUCCUUUUCGUGGAGUGCCUAGUGUAUAGAGUUGUUAGGUAGGGGCUAACUGCCUAUCUUUGUGCUCUGCAAAGCAAACCUCAAGAUGGCUGUUAUACGCAGUUAUAAGCACAGCGUGUUGUAUGAGUGAAUUCAUUAUGGUUUUGUGGGUAGGGUGCACUGGAGAAGUAGAGUGCUUGCUUUAGCUUCAGGAGUGUAUUAGAUCCAUGAAACCAUCAUUCCUACACAGCUUCAUUGAAACUUACCCAUUCGAGCCUCUCUGUAGCAAUACUGACACUAGAUUGUGUGUGUGUGUGUGUGUGUGUGUGUGUAAAAUAUAUAUUUCUUCAUAUACUAAGCUCUGUCUAUGUUACUUGCUAACCGCUCCUCCCUGACUCCCUGAUAUAUUAAACCUUUUGCUUUAUGCAAGAUUCUGAUAUAUUUUGAGUGUUUUAUAAGCUCGGUAGAUCAACUGAAAAUAUGUCGGAGUCAGAAAUAGUUUCUCUACAUUUCUUUUCUACAAAAUUUUGUAUUACUUUAUAUACACACACAUGACCUUAAGGAACACGAAUUUUAGUUAUAACAAAACAGACAUCCGGAUGGCAUCCUAGCACACACGCACACACCUUACACACUCAGUGUACAAAGGCUAAGACAUACGUGGAGAAGAAGACCAAGUUGCCCCAGAGAUAACCUGUUAAUUCAUGUGAAUGCCCCGGAGAAAACCCAGGAAGCUUGCACCAGGCUGAGGGGAUUUCGCUUCUUGGAAACAGGGAGAAAAGAAUAAAAUUUGGCACUUUCUCAGCGUGGCAGCUGUGCCUGUCUCCACAAGAAAAUGCCAUUAAGCAAUUUGCGAAUUCUUGUUAUAUAAUUACUCUUCACUUAAGGUGACUAUUGUGUUCUGUCCCUCAUUAUGAGUAUCUUGUGGUUUGAUUUUUGGCAUAUUUAAUCCUGCUCAAAACCAAAUUAAACUCCUAAAGCAUAUGCUACUGUAAAGCUUGAAUCACAGGCUUUUGUGGUAUUUUGCAGAAAGGUUGUCUGGGAAAAGAAAAACUCAAAGCAAAGAGCUCAAUGUACUAUACAUGCCUCUCACGAGUCAGAGGCUGGAGUGAUUUUUGGACCAUCACUAUGUAAGCACAGUGUGGGAGUGAGUGUCACAUUCAAUGAUGACAUCACCCAUGGCCUCCCUCUUAUCAGAUUUGGCUAGAUGGAGGGCCUCCUGCUUGCCUAGAAAACCAGACAAUAAUAGCUUUGGUUAAUCCAAAAGGUACAUCAGAAGUGGGAAUUAUUGAGGAAUAGGCUAUCUGGUGGUUCUUUCUAAUUUGUGGUCUAGAUGAGACUGUACGAAGGCCUUGGUUAUGUUACAGUGUACUAAUUUCAAAGGUUUGACCAGAAUCUGUAAGAAAAGGUAUAUUUUUCCAAACAGGAAUACUUCAACCUAAAGUUUCAAUAAGUUUCCCUUUACACUGUUAUUUUUACCCCUUUUGAUCUUCAUGAAGUCUUAUCUAAGAGUCUUAUUAAGCUAUCUAAUUCUUUCAACAGAGUAGAGUGUUUAUUUCUAUCUUUGUAAUUAUAGCGUCAUGAUGCCUUGGGUUAUACUAGUUCCUAGUCAUGCUCUUCUCUCAUCGAGAAACCAAGCACACACAAGUUUAUAUGCUGCUGCGUGGUCAGGAUCACGCCAGGAUUAUUUAAUUUCAUUACAUUUUAUAGGCACCGUUAGCCGACCGUCAUGAUUUCCUGUUAGUAUUUGUGUAUUUGGGUUUAAUCUUUGGGCAAGGGUGCUUUUUGCUUGGAUUAUUCAGAUAGUUUAUUUCUGGAACAUGAUAUUAACAAUAAUAUUUACACACACUCAAACCACUGUUUUACUUACCAUGGUUAUCGUCUAAUACCUAUUCCAAAGACUGAUGAAAUGUUUUAACAUGUAUAAAACACUUGGCAUUGUGUGGGGAUUUCCUAAGAGGCUGCUUUUGUCAUUCUGUCCUAAAGGGCAUAGGGAUGGCAAAGGGAGGAGGAGACAACUGGAGCGUAUCAUACCUUUGAGUUUAGUCUGUUUUCUCCACAAACGACACAUCUACCCCAUGUUAAGGAAAGCCAAGUCCACUCUACCCACAAAUACACACUCUGAGAUGUCAUCUUGUACAGCCUCUGUUGGUUUUGAACUCACAGUGUAGCCAACGAUAAUCCUCUUGAUCAUCUCUCAUCUCCAACUCCAAGCACUGGGGCCACAGGCUGCCCUCUUCCUCCUGUGGCUUCCUUAACCUACAUGCUAGGUAAGCUCUCUACUAACUAAGCCAUGUCUUCAUCCAAAGUUCUCUCUGGUAGGAAGAAUUUAUCUCUCCGGGAAGUUUGUUAGACAAACACAGCAUAUAUUUGCACCACAGACAGACUUUUUGGUCAUGACCUUUUGGCUGAAUUAAAAUGUAUUUAGCAUUCAAGUGAGUAAAAUUAAAUCAAAGUAGUCUCCGGGUUCGGUGUGUUUCUCACUGAUUCUGAAUGAUAACGUUUUUUCCUGUGCUCAUCAAAGGUUAAAAAUUUGGACUUAGUUAAAAUGUUAGUCUGCAGAAAGAAUUCUAGAACAUGUGCUUUCUCUUGGAGUAUCAGAUGGUGUUUUGUUGCCUUGGUAACAUGUCCAGAUGUGACAUAUACCUGAGUGUAAGUAUAGUCUACUUAAUUAUGCUCAACAAACUCAGAGUACAGUAAUUAGCGCUUGCUGCAUUGGCUUCCCAGUCUGUGAGCAGCAGGGACUUUAUCAAGCUUUUUCUGGGUAGUAGUUAAGACUACAAGUGGGCCACGGCAUGGCAGCAAUGUGUUCUUAAGCCACUUGAUCUUUCUGCCUUCUCUCUCCUCGUGUGUGUGUGUGUGUGUGUGUGUGUGUGUGUGUGUGUGUGUGUUUGUCCUAGCAUGUUUAGGUUGCUAUAAUAAAAUUACUGGACUGGGUAAUGUACAGACAAUAGAAUUUCAUUGUUCACACUCCUGCAUAUUUUCAAGUUCAAGGUCAAGACACUAGAUGAAUCAGUGUUCUCCGAGUACGAUGCUUUAUUGCUGUCCAUUCUAUGACAGAAGGGGCAAAAAUGUCCCCUUAGGACUUGAUGAUGUCUUCAGUCCCAUUCAUUGGGCCAAGCCAACUCCCGAAGGCCCCAACUUCUGAUACCAACACAUUGGUCUUACGAAUUUUAAUGCAUGGAUUUAGGAAGGAAAGACGCAGCCCGGCUAUGGCAAUAAUCAGCUUUUACUUUUGAAUGUUAACUUUGUAUUUUCUUGUAUCUAAUGUUAUCAUAUCAUAUGGAGAAAAGGGGACCACUAUGGGGAGAACAAAUUGCUAUAGUAUUACACAAUAAAAAGGACAAUAAGCCCCCUUGUGUUUAUUACUUAUUUUAAAAAUUUUCAUAUUGAGACGGUUAAAUAGGGGUCAGAAGAAGACUUGGUGGUUAAGAGAACGUUCUAUUCUGGGACAGGAUUCUAGUGUGGCUUUCAGCAGUCACGUCAGGCGGCUCGCAACCACCGAGAACUCUUAACUCCAGGGUAAUCUGAUGCCUCUGGCCUCUGGACGUGUGGGCAUGCUCUCUCACACAGACACGCAAGCACCCACAAAUAGCAAAAAUAUUUAAAAAGGAUUAAAUAAACUUUAUUAAAGAAGACACCAAAUGAGAAGGUGUGUAUUUAAUAUUGUAUUAACUAUUUAAUAUGAUUAUAUAAUCUUUUAUAUAAUAUUAAUGCAUAAUAUUAUUAACGAAAGAGACGGACUUCUUUCCAUCUAUGUGGUGAAUGAGUGAAUUGUUUCUCAGGCUGAUAAAAGAGAUGGCAGGUGACUCUACAAAUGUUCUGUGUGCUUCUAUACAGACGGAAGAAGGAAAAUAAUUCAAAUGUGUCUUUCCUCGAAGGUUUUCCUCAAAGGUAGAUAAAUUCCAGAGUCAACGUAAUUUGAACUGAGUUUGGAGUCUUGGGGAUCUUGGUCCAAAUCCCCCUUGUUUAGUAACUGUGUGUCCUUGGACGGGUCAAUUUGUCUAGUCGUCCAUCUGUUUUCUUACAUGGCUAAAGAGCAGUUUCUCUUCUACAGGACGGUUGAGAUGAGUUCAGUACUGUCAACCCCACCCAUUACUCCUUCCGGUUCGGCUUUCCGGAGGGUGACGGUACAGAAGCAAACGGUCUUCUACUUUGCGCCUACUUUUCUCAUCAGUAAGGAUAGAGGACAGCUGCAUUCAACCCUAGACAAGAAGCCGCUCUGGAAGUGGCCUUCCUGUUCCCAUCCACUCUGCAACUCUUUUUCUUCUUGCUGGAACCAAGUUACAGUCUUAAAUGUCCCUCCUGCAACUCGUUCCAAAGCAUUGGCUACAAAAAUAAAGGGCGGUGUCCGUUGCUUCCCCUUCAGCUCUGGGACUUGCUUGCGGCACAAAAACCAUGCCGACAGCAUUGAUGCUCUUUCCUAGGGAGCUUAGAAGGAUUUCCAGGCAGUGGUUUCUUGUUGACUUGAACAUCUGCACUGAGGGUCUGUAUCCCAGCCAGAGGGAUUAAACGAGUGUGUCCUUUUCUACAUGCCAGCCAGAUCACACAGGCCUAGAAGGCCUUCAGAUGUGAUGCUUGCCAGAGCAGCCAUGUUGUUGGGUUUGAGUGAACAUGGAUUCAAGUCAAAGGUGAUUCAGUUGUCUGACCUAGCAGUCACACAGGAAAAAUCAAGUGCACAGAGCCACAGAGACCUUGAGUCAGAGAUGAUGGUUCAGAUACCUACCUUCUUUUCAUGUAAAUGAGGUGCUUGAGUGAAUUACUUGAGUUCCUAAAUUGGCUAAAGGGCUAGGAUCCAAAUUUGAGACACAUGACCUCAUAAUUGAAUCUCAUUUAGUUCUGUUUCCGAUGUUUGCUCAUGAAGACUGUGUCUUUGGGUAUGGAUGGCCCUAGAAAACAGCAGGUUCAAAGCAUCUGUGCAAAUUCUGACUAGAGAUUGGAUAGUGAGGUAGAAAUGUGGCUGGAGAUUCAAACUUCAAAUGGGAUGCUGAAUUACAUGAUCGGCAAGAUAACUUCUGGCCCUAGAUCCUUAGGUUCACUUUUUAUUGUAUCAGUUAAGAGUAUAAUUUCUUAAAUAUGAAAUCCCAGGAAGCAAUUACCAAGUCUGGUGCUCAUUUAAAAUCGGGCAUUUAAGACUUUAAAUAACAUUCAGUUUAAUUAACUUAUGUUUGGUUUCCAUGAGACGUCUUUAGAACUCUGGUUAUGGUCCUAAGUGCUCACAGCAUGAGGUGAAAAAUGAUAAAAUUUAGAAAAGAACCAAUAUUUAAGAUUCUCAAGUUAAAGAACUAAUAGAUGGUGAGACCCCAAAAUUACUUUCUGGUAAAAAAAAAACAACAUUGGUGUAUACCUCUUCCUUCAAAAGCAUCUAUGGGGCAGUUGACUGUUGAAAAGAAUUUCUAAAUAUGAGAUUUCAGAGGCACGCAUCUGUCCAUUUUGAACACAAUGGAUGUUAAAUAGAUUUUUGAGUUGGUGUGUGUGUGUGUGUGUGUGUGUGUGUGUGUGUGUGUGUGUGUGUGUGAUGGGUAUGAAUGUGAGCCCUGGAAACCACAGUGAGUUUCUCUUGUGUCCCAUCUUCCCCCUUGCACAGCUUUAAAUCUAACUCUGCCCAUACUAUUGUCCAGGAAAAACAGGCCAUAUUGUGCCGAUUGCUAUUAAAUUAAAGCAGAAAGAGAGAGACACAAACGUGGAAAUCCAUAUUGCCAGCAGGGAUACCACCAUCUUUUAUUUGGCGUUUUGGGAGGGUCAGAAAGUCAUGACAGGCAUCUGACCCCUGAUAACCUCUUUGAUGUUUCUGUGUGCAGCUUUUUUUUUUCGGGGGGGGGGGUGAACUUAAUUAAAUACAAUUGAAUUUCCCUGCUAACAUGCCCAGUGAAAGGCCUCCUUUGAGAUGGCUGGGUAUUUGCUGGUGAGGAACAAACAAGGAUGCUUCUUUUGUUCCUCAAAGAAAAGUUAGCAUAUGUUAGUUAAGGAUUUGUGAUUUCUUUUGACUAGACUGACUGGUUCCUGGAAAUGCAAUGAUUCUUCUGAAAUGGUAGCCACAUGUCAAAAUGGAAUGCAUGAUCCAUAAAAACCCCCAACCCCCCAAGAAUUCCGCCCAGGCCGUUUAUUGUAAAGUUUCCUGUGUCUAGCCACACUUGAAAAACAAAUGCUCAUCAGCGACUUACAAUGAAGCUGCAGAUAUUUGCCUGUACCAUAAUAUCAUUUGUCCAUUUCUUGGAUUUUCUUGUAGCCACAGGAAGGGAUAUUUGUAGAGCCUUGUUCCUGCUAUUUGAUUGAGUACAACUUUAAGCAGAUGUUGACAAAGAAUAUUCCCUUGUUGCUUUUGCAUAGUUGACCUCGGGUAUCCAAAGUCGAAUAAGCAACCGGUUUCCUGGUAAUGUUUUAAUCAAAAGAAGCAGCAUCUCUAAAUAAUGCCAUUUAAAUAAAGUUUCUAUUCAUAAAAAAAUUCAGAUAAAGUGUUCAUUGUUUUUCUUGAGUUUCUGGAACCAGUGGCUGACAGUUAGCAAAUGAGGAAUCCAUUUAUGAUCUCGAUGCCCACAAAGAGCGAGUGAUUUUGUUCAGCUCAGAGCCUGCCUGUUUAUCUAGAGGGGAAUCAGAUUUACUACUUAGGCUCGGAAUCUUUUAGCUUAGAUGAUUUUUGUCUUCCUUGAAGAGAGAGGAUUAGAAUUGGAAACUGGUGCUUUUGGAUUUAAAGUUGACUAUUGUAAGUGUUAAGCCUCCCUCCUCACCUCCAUGCCCCACCCCUCAUCUUUUCUAGAUCCCUCUGAUUAUUAGGGGGAUAAAAAGUCAGCACUUGACCCAUUGCCCUGUCUGGCUUCUGUCUUAUCUCUUGUUCUCCAUUCAUCGUGGAACUCCUAACUUUGCUACCAUACUGGAAUAGUUUUUAGACACAGCUACUUGUUCUACACUGUGGCAGUCACAUCUGCUGUGUGACGUUGGAAGGUUUUUUUUUUUUCUUUUUUUCGGAGCUGGGGACUGAACCCAGGGCCUUGCGCUUGCUAGGCAAGCGCCCUACCACUGAGCUAAAUCCCCAGCCCCGACAUUGGAAGGUUUUGCUCUACACAAGGAUGCUACUGACCAAACCAAAUCUUGUCAGGGGGCCCUAUGUGCCUAGAGACGGUGCCAGCCUGUUCAUUUUUGAAGUUCAUUUAGAAGUCCAUGAGACUAGUGGUGUCUUUGCCGAAUGCAUUUCUUGGCCUGGUUUCUGCCUGUUUCAAAGUUGAAGCCUUUCAAAGGUAAAGAUGCUUUCAAGACUGAGAAUAACAUUAUAGUUAUUUAAGAGGUCCAAAAAUUCAUUGUCAACAGGAAGUUUGCCCAAGGCUGAUAAAAUAUUAGGUCACUAUGAGACUGGGAUCCUGGGAUUUUUUUUUUUUUUUUUUUUUGGUAUAUUUAAAAUGUCAAAGUACUAGCUUGAGGGAAGGAAAAAAUGGUGGACUGUUUGUAUUGCAAUGCAAUAUCAGCAUCUUCUUUUCUCACAGGCUGCCUCAUGCUCUACAAUCUAGACCUUCUGAAAUACUUCGGCAAGGUAGCAGGGUACCCUGAGAAGAACACAGGCCUUGCAACUAGGUAGACUCACCUUGGAAUCCCGACCUUGGGAUGGAGUGAAAUUCUUUAGGGUUUCAGACUUCUCAUUUCCAAAAUAAAUCUUGAUUAAAAAUAGCAGACACGCAGUGGUGUCUUGGUUGAGAGUUUGGCGAUCCACUCCAGGGACAGAGCUCUUCCUCUCAUCGUCAGCAGCUAACAAAGGAUCAGAAUGUUCUCCAGGAAAGGCUUGGCCACAUCUGUUCUCUGCGACUACCAUUUUGCUUCUUUCUCUGCCACUAAAUCUAUAUUUGCUUCUGUUUCCAGAUUUAGCUCAAUGGAUCUACCCUUCAAGAAGUGGCCCCUGUUUCUUCUUUGCGUUUCUACCUAUGUCUCGGGGAGGAGUUUCUCGGGUACUCCAUCUAUCCUUCCAUUAGGGCUUUUGUCCUGCUGGGCUUGGAGCUUCCAGGGAAGUACUGUGGAGACUGUGUUCCAUUUAGUUUUACUUCUUUGGUGCUGACCACACUACAGUGUGACACAAUCUUGAUUGCAGUAACCAGACAAGUGGUGUUUACUUUUGGCAUGGCUAGACUGUGUCUUUGUGUUUCAUUGUUAGUGGACAUUGCUUAAUUCCUGGUCCAUUAUACUUUCUAGGACUCUCCUCAGAGAGGGAUUUAUCUAUUUCCAAAGCUUCGGUUAUCUUUAAUCUUAACCUUUUUAUUUUACCUUUUCUUUUUUUCUUUUCUUUUUUUUGAGAUGGGGUCUUGCUAAAUAGCCCUGGCUGGUCUCUUAGCAGUUAUCUAUCGCAUACAGGUUACUCUUGGCAAUUCUUCUGUGUUGGCCUCCAAAGCGUUGGAGUUAUAGGCGUAUUCCAUCAUUCCUGCCCUCUCAGAACCUUUUAAAGACAACAGGCAGGGUAAAGAUUGGUGGCUCAGCAAGGUGUUAUAUGGGAAGCACAUUGUCAGGAGGCUUAAUGCAAGAGCAGGGACUCAGGCUCUUUAACCAGUGAGUCCCAGGUGACCUUGACUGUACAUUAAAAUGUAAGAAUUGUGGUAGGUAAUAGCUGCUUCAGGAAGAGCGGAUUCCUUGAAUUUUCUGACGAAUGAAUGUCUUUGGCUAUGAAGGCUCCUGACAAGCUCCCGGGACAGCAGCCGAGGGAAUAAAGUGGUGAUGUUGGCACACCGUUGAGGCGCUGCUUAAGUCAGGAAGCAAUCGGCCAACCAAGACCAUGUCAAAUGAAGCACCCCCUCCUAGGUUAGAGCUAAGUAGACACCCUAGAUUUUAAAAGGGGGUUCAGUUAAUUUGAGAGAUGAGUUUUUGAGCUUAAUGUCUUCAUUUUACGCCUAAAAGUAAACUGGUUUUUCUCUUAUAAUCAAAGUACAGCUUUUAAAAAGAAACAGUGCUCAUCGUGGCAAACACAUCUUUUUGUUCGGUGCAGUUCAAUGACCUAACCAGGGAUUUCAAAAGCUAUCUCCUGGCUUCCGCUUUCCGUUCCAAUCCCAGGGGCAAAGCAAGUAUUUGCUUUUAGCAUUGUUGACACCCAAGCACUUCGCCAAUGUUUCCACAAGGCCAGCUGCCCUUUGUAGAGCCUCCUGGGAACUUUUCUUUUGGUUACUAACCCUCGAGUGCACGCAGAUCUUUAUUUGGGGAGAUAUUUGUCACAGCCCAUCUUUCAAAGGAGGGCGACCCAGACCUUGACUCAAGCUUGAAAAUCUUUGUGUCUUUACUCAGUCCUCUAGGCUCAUCUGAAGAUUUUCUCUUGCAGCCUAUUCAUCUUAUUGCUAACCUAGGAGGGAGCACGCAUGCGCGCACACAGCACGCACGCACACAGCACGCACGCACGGACGCGCGCGCGCGCACGCACCACGCACGCACGCGCUCACGAACGUUGUGUUGCUUCUUAUUCGUCCACUAAAUCUUAAAGGAUUGGAAAAUUUGAAAACAGUGGAAUCCUGCCUGAAAGCUUUAGUGAAGUCUGCAUGUAGCUCUGCAGGGACACGCCUGGUGAUAAAUUUCGUGGCUGGAAUUAAAGGUGUGUGCCGUCACUUCCUGGAAGUAUUCACAUCUGAAAAGAAGUUCUUGACUGUGUUUGUUGACUGCAUCUCUUAGCCACGCACUGUAUUGAAUUCAGCACAUUCAAACAUCCUCUGAAGAUUUAAAAAACGUCAGUGGUGAAACCUGUAUCUGCGGUGGAAUGGCCCCCUGAGCUCCUGCCUGCAGGCUCGUGUUUUCACCGGGCAGGUGGCGAGCAUGUGUGUAAUUGGAGCAAAACCUGUAUCCUGAAGUAUAUGACACCUACUUCCACAGUCACAACACAAGUUUUUAAAAAUCUAAAUUAAAGGAACUGAUCUGGCUUUAUUUUUGGUAACCUGCCUGUUCUCUAGCAUGUGGGUUAUGACUGUAUUUCUUUUCAUUGAACUCGAGCCUCUUGUUUAUCGCUUAUGGGGUAUUUUGCGUUCUCUUAGGUGUUUAAAGAAACACAGGGUGUUAUUAUUGUCGUUGUUGUUGUUGUUGAUAUUUAUUUUGGGUGUUUUGGCGCAAAGCACCUUGCUUUCCGUGGCGACUCUUGUGGCUUUCUCAGUGCACUUGAGUUCGUGCUCAAUGUGUCAUUACUGCAAAAACAAGUUAAUUGCUCUGUAAGUGUCCAGGAUUCCCCUGCUUUAAUUUUGCUCUCAUUUACCAACCUUCAGCACGCACCAACUGCUCGACAACUUCAUCAGAAAAUCAGGUUAAUGACUGACAAUCAGUAUCCUUGCUACUUUAGUGUCUCUCCGCCACCUUCUGCUUGUGGACCACAGUAAUCUUUGUGUUUGAAAAGGGAACUCUAUCUGCGCUGGAAGAUUCAGUAGAAGACUUACUUUAUAAAUAGUUGAUGCUAAAGAGUUGAGAGAUCCUAAUCUACACUGCUUCUUUUCUCGUUAGGUACCUCUGAUGUUGUCGACUUGUAGACAUCAAGUAUAUAUAGUCAUUUGCAUAUCAACCAAACCUCAACAAAUCGUUCUUCUUUUUUAAAGGACAGAAUGUACUUAGUUCUCUGGGGCUGUCGGCUGCCAUGAAGCUUUGUUGUUUGGAAAGUACAAAUCACAGGACUGCUGUGUACACAUGUUCAUGGGCUGCACUGGACACCUUGGAGACGAUUGUGUUCUCAUCACAGUUUCUCUGAAUGAUGCUACUCAGCUGUGCCCCUGACAUGGGCAUAGCUUGAGCAGUGCCACCAAGAAAUCCCCAUUGAAAUCAAUGUCAGGCCAGUGUACGGAGGGUCCUACCCACCCCAGACAAAGGUUACCUAGUUGGGAAACCCCACAUCCAUGAAAACGUGUGGUUGAACGAAUGCAGAGAUUCACUGAGGAGGGAAACUUAUGUGCAUGCUUGGCAUGGGUCUAACUCUUCACCGGAUCGUCUUCCCUUUAAACAGGGGUCUCUCCGUCCUGCACCUAUGAGGUGGUUUUCCCAGGUCAAACAACACAUCCGGAUUUGAAGGCUGCCUAUGUGUCCUGGUGACUCAAUAGAGAGUUACGUAGUCAGCGAUCUCGGGCUGUUCAUUUUGUUGUGCAAUCUGAAAUAACUUCGUCACCCAGCAUGCCAAUGGCCAUAGUUUAGGAUUUCUUCCUGCUCCAUAUUCCAACUCAUUUGGGGAUCCUAGCAGGGACUUCCUGCAUUCUUCAGUCCUGUUUGUUGUACAUUUGUCAUGUACAGAAAUUGAUACCAGGGCUACCAAGUGAAAGAUGUGUUUGCUUGAUUUCAGGAGAUUAUGCUCAUGCCUAUACUUAUGGUAUAUCCGAUAUAAUUAAACAAUAAUAGUUGUAAUUACAUAAAUAUAAUUAUAUGUGAAUAUGAUAUAUUCAUAUAAAAUUUAUUUAUAUAUUUAUAUAUUGUUUAAUAUAAAUUUAUACAAUAAAUAUAAAUACAAAUAUAAAAA